rnacentral:rRNA from 1 species
GACAAACAGGUUAAGUUAAGAUUAAUACAGUAAAAAAGAGGGUUAAAGGGAAUGUUAAAUUAAUGUUAAAAGAGAAAUUUUAUUUUUUGUGGAGGUGGAAUUUGUGCAAAAAAAGGUAAUUUGUUGUUUUCUUGUUCUUGAAUCCCUGAAAUCUCAAUAAAAAACCGGGAUUAGAUACCCCGUUAUUUGAGGUGUAAAAUUUAAUUAAAAGAAUUUACUUGAGUAUUACGAGUUGCAUAAAGAUAAUUUGUUGCAGGAAUCUUAAAACUCAAAAGACUUGGCGGUAUUUUAGGUCCUUCUAGGGGAACCUGUCCUGUAAUCGAUAGUCCACGAUUUACCUUUCCUUUUCUUGAAAUGUUCAGCUUGUAUACCGUCGUCGUCAGAUUACCUUUAAGAGUUAAAUAAGUUAUCGGAAGGACUUUUGUAGAUUGGUGUUAUAUUUCAGAUUAUAAAAUUUGAAAUUUAAUACUAUAAAAACAAUUUUCUGGAUGUCAGAUCAAGGUGCAGCUAAUGAAAAGGUAGAGAUGGGUUACAAUAAUUAUUUAUUAUUAACGGAUUUCUUAUUGAAAAUUAUAAGAAUUGAAGGCGGACUUAGAAGUAAUUUAUAAAAAUAGAAAAUUUAGGUGAAAAUGGCACUAAGAUGUGC